rnacentral:misc_RNA from 1 species
GCUUUGCUGCUCCGGGGGCUUUCGGGCGCCGGGGGUGCCGGUUUAACCGCGCCUCCGGUUACGUCCGGGAGGAACAAGGUAUCUGGUUGAUUCUGCCAGUAGUCAUAUGCUUGUCUCAAAGAUUAAGCCAUGCAUGUCUAAGUAUAAGCAAUCUAUACUGUGAAACUGCGAAUGGCUCAUUAAAUCAGUUAUCGUUUAUUUGAUAGUACCUUACUACAUGGAUACCUGUGGUAAUUCUAGAGCUAAUACAUGCUAAAAACCCCGACUUCGGGAGGGGUGUAUUUAUUAGAUAAAAAACCAAUGCCCCUCGGGGCUCCUUGGUGAUUCAUAAUAACUUAACGAAUCGCAUGGCCUUGCGCCGGCGAUGGUUCAUUCAAAUUUCUGCCCUAUCAACUUUCGAUGGUAGGAUAGUGGCCUACCAUGGUGGCAACGGGUAACGGGGAAUUAGGGUUCGAUUCCGGAGAGGGAGCCUGAGAAACGGCUACCACAUCCAAGGAAGGCAGCAGGCGCGCAAAUUACCCAACCGACACGGGGAGGUAGUGACAAUAAAUACUGAUACGGGGCUCUUUUGGGUCUCGUAAUUGGAAUGAGAACAAUUUAAAUCCCUUAACGAGGAACAAUUGGAGGGCAAGUCUGGUGCCAGCAGCCGCGGUAAUUCCAGCUCCAAUAGCGUAUAUUAAAGUUGUUGCAGUUAAAAAGCUCGUAGUUGAACCUUGGGUCUGGCUGGCCGGUCCGCCUCACCGCGAGUACUGGUCCGGCUGGACCUUUCCUUCUGGGGAACCCCAUGGCCUUCACUGGCUGUGGGGGGAACCAGGACUUUUACUGUGAAAAAAUUAGAGUGUUCAAAGCAGGCCUUUGCUCGGAUACAUUAGCAUGGAAUAAUAGAAUAGGACGUGCGGUUCUAUUUUGUUGGUUUCUAGGACCGCCGUAAUGAUUAAUAGGGAUAGUCGGGGGCGUCAGUAUUCAGCUGUCAGAGGUGAAAUUCUUGGAUUUGCUGAAGACUAACUACUGCGAAAGCAUUCGCCAAGGAUGUUUUCAU